UAGAGUAAUGCGUGACCAACCUGCCCCAUGCUCCAGAAUAGCUCUUGGAAACGGGUGGUAAUGCUGGAUGCUCCAACUUGACGCAUGUCUUGUUGGGAAAGUGUUUAGUGGCAUGGGAUGGGGUCGCGUCCUAUCAGCUUGUAGGCGGGGUAAUGGCCCACCUAGGCUUCGACGGGUAGCCGGCCUGAGAGGGCGGACGGCCACAUUGGGACUGAGAUACGGCCCAGACUCCUACGGGAGGCAGCAGC
rnacentral:rRNA from 1 species